rnacentral:tRNA from 1 species
CAGAAACUAAGAGGUUCGAACUCUUGCUUUAGGCUUUGAAGGCUUGUGGACUUGUUAUCCUAAGUUUCUU